GGAGAGAUGGCUCAGUGGUUAGAGCACUGGCUGCUCUUCCAGAGGUCCUGAGUUCAAAUCCCAGCCACCACA
rnacentral:tRNA from 1 species